GCAGUAGCUCAGUGGUUGAGCAUCUGCUUCUUGCAUGCAGAAGGUUCCAGGUUCAAUUUGUGACAUCUUCA